AAAAAAAAAAGAGAGAAGGAAAAACCGUCCUUCUAAUUUGCACAGACACUGUCAUUUGUCAAAAAAUGAGGGUUUUUAGUCAAGUUCUCAUGGGACUCCAGAAAUGACAUGUGGCUUCACUUCCCCACGUUGUGUUUAUCAGUUUCUGCUAUAAAUACAGCUCCCCCUCCUUUGAACUUUCCCCACCAUUACCAGCUAGAGCAUCGGUUUAGGUCCCUUUGAAGCUAAAUAGCUGCAAGGCUUGAUGCAUAGAAAAGUAUGGAAGAAUCUGUUAAGCUCAGGAGGGAUAGCGCCCUAAGGAUAAUCAUGGGCUCUUUUUAUGUGGUUUUUGAUUCUCAGUGGCGCUAUCCAUCCUGAGUUUCAUUGCUUCUUCUUGCUACCAGCUCCUGGCCUCUCUCUGUUGGGUCUUGAAGUGCCAUUAAUUCCAGCUUUUUUGAGAAGGUGAUUUGUUACUGGGCUAGCUUAUCCAUUUAUCAAAUUUGGUCUGGGAGGAUGAACUUGAAGAUGCUGACUGCUUCCCAUCUUCGUGCAAGUCACGGCCCUCGGUCAUGUUCUUUCGAGUCGUUUCCUUUACUUUAAUUAUAUCUAUAAAAAAAAAAUUAAGGCAAAGGUUUGUGCAAUUAAGUAAUAUCUGCACUCAUUUACAGCUUUAAUUCUGAUAUUUUGCCCCCUUUCCAGGUGACCGUGUUUCCACGCUGCUUCCGUUGCUUCCACUGAAAGAUCUCCGGUGGUUGAUAGCUUUAGACCAGUUUCCUAUAUUAUAGUAGAAUCUUUUUAGAUUUUAAUUUUCUUCACGGAAUUAAUUUACAGUGAAGUAAUUAUAAAAUGAUGUUACCAGGGCAUAGUCUAGAGAGCCACCCCAUCAAGUUCGAGGUGAUCUGCUGAGGGCCUUGGGUAAAAAAAAAUAAAGGUAUUGCCUUUACUAAAAUCCCCUUGAACUGGGCAGUACAGAUGGAAGCGUACGAGUUCGAAUGUAAAUGGAAUAACUUAACAUGAUUUUUUCUUCUUACGAAUAUCUUAAAUUCAAUUGUAAAUAGUCAAAUUAAACAAAAAUUGCUGAAGAGAUACCAGUUGUAUUGCCAAGACAACGAGGAGCUAACAAUCUGAAAGAUUUUCCUCGUAGAUAUACAUCUUUUACAUUUGGAACGAGACGCUUAAAGUAGCACAAGAACUAGGUAUCUUUUCCUCGGAGAUACCACAUUGUCUUGCUCAAACCCAGGCAAUGGGGGCUAGGAGCAUUUCUUGUUCAAGUUGUGUAAGAACAGGAUUUAGGUAUUCAUUAAUUCUAUCGUUUGUUUAUGGUUGAAGUUAUCUUCAUCAUGCGAAUAAUCGCAGGUUGCCACAGGCAGUGGGAUCGUGACAUGAUAUUUAUGAAGAGUCAAUAAUUUCACGAAGCUGAAUGGAAAUAAAGCUUUAGCCAAGACAAUAGAGGAGACAAUAUCAGUUGUAGGGGCCGGGAGAUUUCCAAUAUUUCACCUUUUUAUCCCUAUUCUGCUUGUACUCGGACCAUUUUUCACCUGUUCUUUUUCACUUGUUCUUUUUGUACUUGGAACAACCCUCCCCGACGUUUUCAGAGUUUGAGAUCUGUUUGGUUGGUUUUUUUUUUAAUUGAGCGAACUCAAAUUUACCUUCCAAUUAUUGAGGUAACAUCAGUUUUGCCCUUGAGU